CACGGGGGGAACGCGAAGAACCUUACCUGCCCUUGACAUCCGAAUGACCGGUGAGUAAUGUCACCUUUCCUUCGGGACAUUCGAGACAGGUGGUGCAUGGUUGUCGUCAGCUCGUGUCGUGAGAUGUUGGGUUAAGUCCCGCAACGAGCGCAACCCUUAUCUUUAGUAGCCAGCGGUAUGGCCGGGCGCUCUAGAGAGACUGCCAGGGAUAACCUGGAGGAAGGUGGGGAUGACGUCAAAUCAUCAUGCCCCUUAUGCUUAGGGCUACACACGUGCUACAAUGGGUGGUACAGAGGGCAGCCAAGUCGUGAGGCGGAGCUAAUCCCUUAAAGCCAUUCUCAGUUCGGAUUGUAGGCUGAAACUCGCCUACAUGAAGCUGGAGUUACUAGUAAUCGCAGAUCAGAAUGCUGCGGUGAAUGCGUUCCCGGGUCUUGUACACACCG
rnacentral:rRNA from 1 species